AAAAGAAUAUUUUCUCUUUGACUGCAUAAUAAUUUGUCUCGCAUUUACUAUUUGCUUUCCUUCCUUCUUCCAAGCUCUACUUCUUAACCCAGAGAAAUGGACACAAGAUCCAUCUUCAUUUCAGGAUUCAGAAACAACUUCCAGCCACCAAGUUCUUUUUUCUCUUUCAAAAGAACUGUCGCUGUGCUGUAAUGAAAUGGUGAAGUCAUGCCAUAUCUCUAUAUAAGAUAGCAAGAAUACCUCUUUGGUCCUCUCAUGACUCACUAGAUGCCCACCGUGGAGAUCAACCAUUCUAGCAACAGGCUGCAACUUCUCUGCAAGCCUCCUUGCAUAAUAUAUCGGAGCAAUGAUAUCAUGCCUAGCAUUCAGAGCACCUCAAAUUAGUCAUAAGCAGUUCUAUGGUCUUCUAUGGUGUCAGUAAGCAUUUAUAUAACAACAUGAAAAUCAGACACUCAGAAGAAGCAAAGACCAGCAACCUCUACAGUAGUAAAUGCAAGACCCAACAUACUCAUCAAGAUAUUCCUGCACAUCAAAAUAAACAUCAUUGAGUGUCCAAGUCAACAGCAGCCCUUUGCUCAGGAGUCUUUGCCUUCAAGAAACGGAUAGCAACAGAUAUUGUUUGACGGUCAAGCUGCAACAUAAAAAAAAUUCAUCACUUCAUGGUUCUUCAGAAAAGAAAAAUGCACUCUAUGGCUGUUGGCCAGUGAUUUCAAAUAAGGUUGAGAGCUUAUAAAACCAACAGAUGUGAAUUGCAUCCUGUUAGGAGAAAUCCCUGACAAUGCUAUACAUCUUGCACACCUCACAGACAAUCUAUAGAACUAGAGGAGACACGGUCUCUCGGUGUCCUCACAAUAUUGUAAUAACAAGUUUAUCAAUUGAUGAUCAGAACAUCAAAGGUUUAUCAUAUAUUGUCAUAAAAUAAGUAUCCUAUAUUAACAAACAGUGUUGUGAAUGGUGUUAUAAGCAGAAGAACAAGUGUUUGUUGAUUUCAUGAUCUAAAUCCCAAGAAAAGCUGUUACAUCAUUGGCUAAUUCGCCAAAGGUUCAGUAGCAACAACGGAUCUUCUUCAUACCUAGGUUAGGAUGGGAAGAAAAGUUAGCUGCUAACUUGAUUGGAAUUUAUUAUCGUCAGCAAGUAUUCCUGUAUCAAUCUUAAUACAUUACGAUGUGUAUAUUAAAUAAAUUAGGUCGUUUUUUUCCUUUUC